rnacentral:tRNA from 1 species
GGGGGUAUAGCUCAAUGGUAGAGUAUGUGCUUGGUGUGUAUGAAGUCUUGGGUUCAACCCCCAAUGUGCAUG